UUUACAUCACUAGGUCAAUAACCUUUUGUUUUACUGUGUUACACUUAUAUCGCCUGAUUUCGUGUGAAAAUGACCAUUUGCUUUCUGCAAUUACCACCUGGUAGUUGUAUAGAAGAUUGUAAUUAUGAUAUUUAAUAUUUGAUGCCUGUUAUUAUAGCACACUCCAAUGAUAUAACUACAAACUAUUCCAAAUGAGUUCAAAAAAUGCAAAUACUAUCCAAGAUCCAAAUCAUGACAAUGAAGCUUCAGUUUUUAGUCUCUACCGAGGCACUUUUGAUCGUUACCAUGGUGAAAUAACAGAUUACUCUGAUAUUCCACAAAACGUUGUUCACACGGAACCACCAAAGAUCCAGCCUAGGAGGAGUAAAUUUUUUACUUUAAUUGAAGAAGACCAGGAGAAAUCGGCAUCAAGUGUUACACUACACGACAGAACCAAAUCAGGUUCUGGUACACUCCAGAAUAAUACUAGUCAAGAAUCCCGACCAGAAACGGACCAUAACAGAAUUCCUGGUAAAAUUUUACGAGAACAGUAUGCUAAUGUUGGAGAAAAGGAAGAUGUUCCUUAUUAUGAUCUGUCAAAGCCCAGUAUAGGGUCAGAAACAUCGGAUGCCAUUCUCAAAUUAUUUGAUCAGGCUCACAAAUCAUCACUUUUAGUUCCACCGAACACUCACAGACCCUCAAUGUCAUUGCCUGUUUCUCCGAGCGGAUCACCAAAAUUACCCAGAAGUCAGUUCAUGCGUAAGUUAUCCUCCAGUAAUAUUGUUGCACUUGCUACUAUGGGUGUAGUUAACACACCAUCACUUUCGGAGGAUCAGACAAUAAUAACUCGACAGAAUGAUAAUCAAAUGGCGCAGAAAGAGGUUACACCGAUAGUGAUGUCAACCGUCACACCCCCGGUCGCUGAAAAGAAGGUGGAUGUUCCAAUAGAUACUAUUCCGGAACAGAAUACAAUUGGUUCAGAUUUGAAUUAUGUGACGUCCGGAUUUGGUAACUGGUUGAAAAAGAGAGUGAAUGUGAAGAACAGAGACCUAAAUGCUUUUUCACCCUCCUCAACUUAAAACAUACAACAUGGGCCUGUUUCACGAAAUGUAUAUUAAGUUGUAUGUAAGAGUUAUAUUGUAAAAUGUUUGAUUUAAGUGAAUGUGUGCUUUGUGAAAUGGGAAUCUGGGGAAUAGUUUAACUAUAAAUACAUUUGUGAUGAAUUCUUUUUUGUGUUUAUUAGGAUUGAAUGAAGUAAAAAGAAAUAUCUAUCCUAUGAUAUUCCUGUAAUUUAAAUUUCAGUGUUUAUGCAUUUUAUAAACAUAACAAGAAUCUGUUUAGAUUAGAUGCCUGUGAUUUGAGGUCACAGUCCAUGUGUUAACAUAGCUUUUUGUGUACUGUAACCGGGUAGUUUAAAACAGUCAACGGAUUUGAGUUAUGUGUGGUGCAGUCCUCCUGCACUUACUAUUAUUAGACAAUCAUAAUAAAGUGUAAAGUGUUAUUUCUUCAUCUUUUUGUCUAAGUCUAAGACACAUAUAAGACGCACAUGUUAUUGAACUGAAAAGACUUGAUGAAAGGGUGCGUCUUAUACACAGGAAAAUACGGAAAUAACCCAGAGAAAAAUCUGUUCCUGUGUUGUGAAUAUGAUAUCUAGUGAUUUAAAAUGUGCUUUAAUUAUAGAUCUUCUUUAUGUUUAUUAUGUUUUUUUCCUGUGUAUAUAAUAUUUAUAUACUAAUAGUUCCAGUAUUUUACUAUGUUUUAUAGUUUCUUCAAUAUUUUAGUUUAUCCAUGUAGUGUUGAAUUGAUUAAGAGCAAUCUAGUAAUUGACCAGAUAACAUACAUCUCCUGGAUUAUUUUUAGAAAUCGAACAUGGAAGAUGAAUCUCAUAAUUCUGAAAUAGUAAACAGUACAUUUUGUAGACAAUGGUGUUAUUCUCAUUGAAAAAAAACCCAGUAAUAAAUAGUCUCCCAACAGGAAUAUGGAUACGUGGCUAUUGUUGUGGUAUUGAGUUGAGUUAAUAUACCCUAUUCAACACAUCUGAUACUAAUGAUUAUGGGAAGGUUAGUUACAGUUAAACAGAUAUAUGUCUUUAUUUACUCUUUAGGAUGAAUGAUAUUGUAUUUGUAUUAUGUUUAUAAAGUUACCCUUUAUCUCAAAAACAGUUGAAAACAGCUGAAAUAUAUUCUGUCAGUUAAUACCAGUUUAAUAAGCCAGGUUUCUAAUUAUUUAUAUGGAAUACAUCACUUGUUUGUUAAACAUAUAAUAGAAGGUAUUGGACGAAAUGAAAUGAAAUGGGGCUUAACGUCUUACUGUUCUGCUCCUAAACUAGGCUAAUGAAGAAGGGUAUAUGCCAUACAGUGUGCUAUGAGGGAAAUUUUGCCCGGGCACUACGGCCUACUCUUAUAUCGAAUUCCAACUGCCAAGGGAUUUUUUACGUACACGCCAAUGUGUACAUGGGACCUCGGUUUUUCAUACCUGGAUGAACUUUCUCGCCCAAUGCAGGGAUCGAACACCUGACCUCCAGGCUAGCGAGUAUCACACAAUAUGUAUAACAAACAAGUGAUUGAAUUCCAUAUAAAUCCAGACCAAUGACCAUAUUAUUUUUUCGCAAUUAGAAAUAAAUACUUAAGUAGCUGUACACUAAUUAAUGUUUAUAUUUUUAAAAGAAGCUGAAAUACUGUGUACCAGUAUUUAAUUAUUAGUUAAAUACAUAUUCAAAUUUUUUUGUCUAUGCAAUCAUCUUGUAUAAAAAAUUUGAAUAAUUCCUUUUAGUUUGGUAACGUUUUAUCUAUAAAUUAUGUAUAGAUUUACUUCCUUUUAUAGAAUAAAUUGUUAAAUGUACUUGAAGUUACAGAAUUAAAUGUAGACUUGAAAUGGCAGAAUUGGAAUUUAAAUGUGCUUGAAAUUGUACAUUUGAAUGUAUUUGGAAUUACAAUAUUGAAUGUUAAAUGUACUUGAAAUUAUAUAAUUUAAUGUUAGAAAUAUGAUAACUGAAAUCAGGAAAUGGAAUAAACACUGAAAUAUGUGGUUAGAAAGGAAAUUGAUUUAAUGUUCAAUAGACUGGACCUUACAGACUUGGUCGUUACUGUACUUAAAGUUUCCUAAUUAAAUGUUAAAGUUACAAUUUCAUAUUUUCUAAGAAAGUCAAAACAUAAUUAUUUCUAUGUCUUUGGCUCAAUAGGUUGUCAACUCACUAUUAUACGAUCAUAGGUGUCAUUCUCACACUUAAAACUCAUUUACACCGGAAAUAAUAAAAGAAUUACUUCCCAAUUACCUCCCUUGUUUUCUAUUCUCCACCAUGGAGUAGCUAUCUUCAAACGUUGGAAUUUGAAGAUGAAAAUGAUAUUUUUGCCAAUUUCUCAACUGGCAAUAGUGAAUUAUAGGAUUAUUCUUUAACAACGUAGGACUGUUUAUAGAUAGCAUCUAUUUUAAGGCUUUAUUUUAAUAAAUUUUAAAAAUAUGAAAUUGCAACUUUAAAAGAUCGCAUGAAAUCAAAUAUUGAAAUAAGCACUAAACGUUUGAUCUUUCCAAUUUUAAUUAUUAUUGUAGAGGUUCAGGUACUAUAAAGAUAUUAAGGAGCUAGAGAUAGCUGUAAUUUGUGUGUAUAUUAUAUAUACAUAUUGUAUGUAAUUUGUUCUCUAUUACAAUAGUGAAAUAAUUAUUGUUAAUGAACUAUUAAAAUAUAUUCAGUGUUUGUUAUUGUUAUUUUCAGGAAUGGGAAAUAAAUAAAAACUGCAAAUCUA